GACGAAGGGGGCUAGCGUUGUUCGGAAUUACUGGGCGUAAAGCGAGUGUAGGUGGUUGUCCAAGUUGGAUGUGAAAGCCUUGAGCUCAACUCAAGGAAUGCAUUCAGGACUGGGCGGCUAGAGGACCGGAGAGGAUAGUGGAAUUCCCAGUGUAGUGGUGAAAUACGUAGAGAUUGGGAAGAACACCAGUGGCGAAGGCGGCUAUCUGGACGGUUUCUGACACUAAGACUCGAAAGCGUGGGGAGCAAACAGG
rnacentral:rRNA from 1 species